GCUCUUCCUCCCCAUCUCCAGGCAUUUUUUUGCUCAGCUGCUGUGGGCAAAUGAGUUUGCUGGUGCUCAGCCCUGGCAGGGCAGGUUGUGUCUGGACUCCCAGCCUGCCAGAAGGGCCUGGGACUAGUUUCCUUUGGCCAGGAGAUGGGUAUGGGAUGUCUCCGGCACCACAGCAGGGUGCUCCUGGCUUUCCCAGCACCCAAGUAGGACAAACGCCUCCUCUCGGCAGGGGGGGUUUAGCCACGGCCGGUUUAUCGAGCAGUUCAGCAAAGCCCGCAGCAGGUCCCUGGCUAUGGGAAGCCUCCAUCCAUCACCUUGGCUCUGGGGAGGGACGGACAGAUGGACGUUCCCAUGCUCGGAGGGCUCUGCCGGCACUGCGGGCACCCAGCGCUGCUCCCAUUCCCCCAUGGUGAGACUGGGGAGGGACAUACCCUGGAUCAGGCAGGGCUUGGCGACUCCGGUUUGCCAGCCAUCCCCCCAAAUCUGCUUCCACCUUCACAGCCGCCGUGGGCGAGGCUCACCCCAUCCGGCAAUGGCUGAAGGCGGCCAAGACUUUUUGGAUGAUGCCACGGAUGCCGGUGGCUCUCCCUCCCACCCCCCUCACUGCCUCCAGCAGCUGGUGGAAAACCAGCAGAGCCCCGUGGUAGGUCUCAGCAGCCGAAACCUCCAUGAAAGCCAGUGCAGGAGCUGGCCCUCCUUGCCAGGCGCUGCCCGCCGGUGCUGCAAGGUCCCACAUGUUGCCCACCAAGAUGACAGGCACCGGCUGCUGGCACCGUGGCUGCUGAGGCCAGUGGGAGCUGGAGCAGUCACAGAUGCUGUAGAGCAGGAUGAUGCUGUCCACCCAGUGCGGCAGCUUCUCGGUGGCCUGGGUAUGGGCAGAGCCUGGUGUUGGCCCUGGCUGAGACCCAACAAACUCAUCAUGGCCGAGGCAUUGUGCUGGGGGGGGGUGUCUCACCUGGGCUUCCUUGAAACCUGGAGGCUUGGUCCUGCCCUGAGCUCCAGCUUCACCUGCUUUUAAUGAACCAUAAAUUCCCUUAGAUAGGGGAAAAUUGUCGCUGAUUGGGCGAGGGUCUUCGUUAG
rnacentral:lncRNA from 1 species